GAGUUCGCGGGAGAGUAAGCUAUUGCCAGGGUUUUUAUUUUAUAUUUUAAACAUUGAUUUUAUUUUUUAUGUUUUUAGAUGUUCAUUUUUUUGAAUGUUUUAUUCAAAUAAUAUAAAAAAUAAAAUAUAUAUUGACAUGGAUUAAACAAAGAUAUAUAUUAUUCUAUGUUGCAUAAACAAAUUGGCAAAAUAGAGAUGGAAGAUAAAAAUAUGGUCAAAGUAAUAAGAGUCUAUGGUGAAUGCC
rnacentral:misc_RNA from 1 species